rnacentral:lncRNA from 1 species
UCCCUCAGUCUAACUUCUGUUAACCUACCGUUACUGAAUUCAAUUUUUAUCAUUUUCUGGAGAGCCACACCAUCCUACGCGGGAUUAGAAGAGAAGUUGGAGAGACUUCAAAAGUUCUUCUAACAAACUUAUCAAACAAAGGGUUUUUUCUCCAAAAUUCUCAAUCACUCUCCACCAUCGUUCUCUAAUCUGCUCCAUCUUCGGCCUGCAACUGACUACAACAUCCUUCGCCUUCUCCGCGCCGUCCGUCUCCUGCCAACUCUGGUGUCUUCUCAUCCUCUGUCGAGCACCAGCGUUCUCUGGCCUAUCCGAGGUAAGUCGCAAAUUUUAGUUUAUCUUUCUCAUCCAAUUUUUUAUUGUAGUUUCAGAUACCUUUCUUAUUCAAUAAAAGCAUGUCUGAGAAGGCCUUGAAUCGCAAGGCCAACAGCAGGCUGUUCCAUAAAAUCUGACACAACC